GCCUAAUCCCUCGAGAAGGUUUGAAGUAAUGGAGAGGUUCUCCAUUAAACUUAACGCUGAAUGAAACUGUUGUGACACAUUUCAUGAUCCAUCCCACCCAUUUCUCAUCAAAGCCAAUCUUCAUUAGGCAUGCCUCCAAGAAAUCCCAUUCCACUCGAUCGUAGGCUUUCUUCAUGUCUAACUUGAGAACCGCUUGAAAUUUCUUUCUUCUCUUUUGAAUUCUAAUUUGAUGCAACACCUCCUGGACAAUAAAGAUGUUAUCUUGAAUUUGCCUCCCGCCGACGAAAGCACUUUGUUCCAUUGCAACAAGUUCUGGUAGAAGUGGUUUGAGUCUAUUGGCCAGCACUUUUGAGAUAAUCUUGUAGCCAAAAUUACAUAAACUAAUUGGGCGGUAUUGAUCUAGUCUCUCUGGGUUCGGGACUUUCGGGAUAAGGGAGAUGUGUGUUUUAUUUAAAUCUGGUGGCAGGGAUCCAGUGUUGAAGAAAUUCCUCACCUCCUUUAGAAUAUCCCAUUUAAUCUCUUCCCAAUUCUACUAAUAAAACAAACCACUAAGGCCAUCAGGCCCCGGUGCUUUUGCUGCGCCGAGCUGGAAAGUUGCAUUUGUUACUUCUUCCAAGGUUGCCUCAGCCAACAAGAGGUGAUUCAUCUCUUCUGUUACCACCCGAGAUACCUGAUCCAGAACUUGGCAGAAAUGUCGAGGGCCGAUAGAUUGAUAUAGAUCUCGAAAAAAAAGUAUAGUAUGUUCUUUCAACUGGCACUGCUCAAAUAGCCAUGUAUUCUCUAAAUUCUGAAGCAUAGAGAUCCUAUUCCUCUGUCGCCUCUGAAUGGUAGUUGCAUGAAAAAACUUUGUGUUUCUAUCUCCCCAUUUCAACCAAUUAAUUCUCGAUCGCAGCCCCCAAUACAUCUCUUCCUGCCUCCAUAAAUAAUCAAUAUCUUCUUGCGGGUUUUUGAUUCUCACUUUGUCAAAGGACCCCAUGGUAUUGUUUGUCAGCCACUACAAUUCCUGUUUCAGCAAGUUGAUUUCCCUAUGUCCAUUCGCGAAUUUCUUCUUACUCCAUUUGGAAAGAGCAAAAGUUACGGCCUGCAACUUCCCGACUAAAUCCUUUUCAAAGGUUAGCCCAAAGAGAUAGAAGUAUAGGACUGUGAUCUGAUCCUAUUGCUGGGAGAGCAUAAGCUUCCGCUUCAGGGAACAUCAACCUCCAUUCAAUCGUACAUACCACCCUGUCAAGUCGUUCUUUAAUGUACUCGUCCCCUUCUCUAUUAUUGGCCCAAGUGAACGCACACCCUUUACUGUCAAUGUCGAUCAAUGAACAGGCAUCUAGACAAUCCCAAAAA